UGGCCUCCCAAGUAGAAUUACUAAAUUAAC
rnacentral:piRNA from 1 species